rnacentral:rRNA from 1 species
AUUGAACGCUGGCGGCAGGCCUAACACAUGCAAGUCGAGCGGAUGAGGGGAGCUUGCUCCUGGAUUCAGCGGCGGACGGGUGAGUAAUGCCUAGGAAUCUGCCUGGUAGUGGGGGAUAACGUCCGGAAACGGGCGCUAAUACCUCAUACGUCCUGAGGGAGAAAGUGGGGGAUCUUCGGACCUCACGCUAUCAGAUGAGCCUAGGUCGGAUUAGCUAGUUGGUGGGGUAAAGGCCUACCAAGGCGACGAUCCGUAACUGGUCUGAGAGGAUGAUCAGUCACACUGGAACUGAGACACGGUCCAGACUCCUACGGGAGGCAGCAGUGGGGAAUAUUGGACAAUGGGCGAAAGCCUGAUCCAGCCAUGCCGCGUGUGUGAAGAAGGUCUUCGGAUUGUAAAGCACUUUAAGUUGGGAGGAAGGGCAGUAAGUUAAUACCUUGCUGUUUUGACGUUACCAACAGAAUAAGCACCGGCUAACUUCGUG